rnacentral:rRNA from 1 species
AUUGAACGCUGGCGGCAGGCCUAACACAUGCAAGUCGAACGAGUGGCGGACGGGUGAGUAAUGUCUGGGAAACUGCCUGAUGGAGGGGGAUAACUACUGGAAAUGGUAGCUAAUACCGCAUACCAUCGGAUGUGCCCAGAUGGGGUUAGCUAGUAGGUGGGGUAAAGGCUCACAUAGGCGACGAUCCCUCGCGGGUCAUCGAGGAUGACCAGCAACACUGGAACUGGGAAACGGGCCAGAAUCCUACGGGAGGCAGCAGUGGGGAAGAUUGCACAAUGGGCGCAAGACUGAUGCAGCCAUGCCGCGUGUAUGAAAAAGGCCUUCGGGUUGUAAAGUACUUUCAGCGGGGAGGCGUUACCCGCAGAGGAAGCACCGGCUAACUCCGUGCCAGCAGCCGCGGUAAUUC